rnacentral:rRNA from 1 species
AUGCAGUUGGCUUACCAGGCGUCGACGGGUAGCCGGCCUGAGAGGGUGACCGGCCACACUGGGACUGAGACACGGCCCAGACUCCUACGGGAGGCAGCAGUGGGGAAUAUUGCACAAUGGGCGGAAGCCUGAUGCAGCAACGCCGCGUGAGGGAUGACGGCCUUCGGGUUGUAAACCUCUUUUAGCAAGGAAGAAGCGAAAGUGACGGUACUUGCAGAAAAAGCGCCGGCUAACUACGUGCCAGCAGCCGCGGCCGA